GGGCUUAAAGUGUGAGUAGGCGGUUUUAAGUUAAGAUCAAAAUCCAAAAGCAUAACUUUUGAAAAGGUUUUAAUACUGUAAAGCUAGAGUAUAAAUAAGGAAAGUAGUAUUUUUAGUGUAAAGGUUAAAUUUUGAAAUAUUAAAAGACUAUCAAUAGGCGAAGGCGACUUUCUGGUUUAUUCUGACGCUGAGGCACAAAAGCAUGGGGAGCAAACAGGAUUAGAUACCCUGGUAGUCCAUGCCCUGACCUAUGAAUGUUGAAACAUAAAAAUAUAAUUUUAUGUUUUAAGUUAACACGUAAAACAUUCCGCCUGGGGACUACGACCGCAAGGUUGAAACU
rnacentral:rRNA from 1 species